AUUGAACGCUAGCGGGAUGCUUUACACAUGCAAGUCGAACGGCAGCGCGGACUUCGGUCUGGCGGCGAGUGGCGAACGGGUGAGUAAUGUAUCGGAACGUGCCCAGUAGCGGGGGAUAACUACGCGAAAGCGUAGCUAAUACCGCAUAUGCCCUACGGGGGAAAGCAGGGGAUCGUAAGACCUUGCACUAUUGGAGCGGCCGAUAUCGGAUUAGCUAGUUGGUGAGGUAACGGCUCACCAAGGCGACGAUCCGUAGCUGGUUUGAGAGGACGACCAGCCACACUGGGACUGAGACACGGCCCAGACUCCUACGGGAGGCAGCAGUGGGGAAUUUUGGACAAUGGGGGCAACCCUGAUCCAGCCAUCCCGCGUGUGCGAUGAAGGCCUUCGGGUUGUAAAGCACUUUUGGCAGGAAAGAAACGUCGCGGGCUAAUACCCCGUGGAACUGACGGUACCUGCAGAAUAAGCACCGGCUAACUACGUG
rnacentral:rRNA from 1 species